CGGACGGGUGAGGAAUACGUAGGAAUCUGCCCUUAAGUGGGGGAUAACCCGGGGAAACCCGGAUUAAUACCGCAUGAUCUCGAAAGAGCAAAGCAGGGGACCGCAAGGCCUUGCGCUUUUGGAGGAGCCUACGUCGGAUUAGCUAGUUGGUGAGGUAACGGCUCACCAAGGCGACGAUCCGUAACUGGUCUGAGAGGAUGAUCAGUCACACCGGAACUGAGACACGGUCCGGACUCCUACGGGAGGCAGCAGUGGGGAAUAUUGGACAAUGGGCGCAAGCCUGAUCCAGCAAUGCCGCGUGAGUGAAGAAGGCCUUCGGGUUGUAAAGCUCUUUCAGUUGAGAAGAAAAGAUUGUAACUAAUAAUUGCAAUCCAGACGGUUCGACAGAAGAAGCACGGCUAAUACGUC
rnacentral:rRNA from 1 species